AUGAACGCUGGCGGCGUGCCUAAUACAUGCAAGUCGAGCGAACAGACGAGGAGCUUGCUCCUCUGACGUUAGCGGCGGACGGGUGAGUAACACGUGGAUAACCUACCUAUAAGACUGGGAUAACUUCGGGAAACCGGAGCUAAUACCGGAUAAUAUAUUGAACCGCAUGGUUCAAUAGUGAAAGACGGUUUUGCUGUCACUUAUAGAUGGAUCCGCGCCGCAUUAGCUAGUUGGUAAGGUAACGGCUUACCAAGGCAACGAUGCGUAGCCGACCUGAGAGGGUGAUCGGCCACACUGGAACUGAGACACGGUCCAGACUCCUACGGGAGGCAGCAGUAGGGAAUCUUCCGCAAUGGGCGAAAGCCUGACGGAGCAACGCCGCGUGAGUGAUGAAGGUCUUCGGAUCGUAAAACUCUGUUAUUAGGGAAGAACAAAUGUGUAAGUAACUAUGCACGUCUUGACGGUACCUAAUCAGAAAGCCACGGUUAACUACGUG
rnacentral:rRNA from 1 species